UACGUAGGGUGCAAGCGUUGUCCGGAUUUACUGGGCGUAAAGAGCGCGCAGGCGGUCGAUCAAGUCGAGUGUGAAAGCCCCCGGCUCAACUGGGGAGGGCCAUUCGAUACUGAUCGACUCGAAGGCAGGAGAGGGUAGUGGAAUUCCCGGUGUAGCAGUGAAAUGCGUAGAGAUCGGGAGGAACAUCUGUGGCGAAGGCGGCCAUCUGGACCAGCACUGACACUGAGGCACGAAAGCGUGGGGAGCAAACAGG
rnacentral:rRNA from 1 species